rnacentral:tRNA from 1 species
GGGCGCGUAGCUCAGCAGGUUAGAGCGCCGGUCUCACAUACCGGAGGUCGGAGGUUCAAGUCCUCCCGCGCCCA